GACAGAGGGUGCAAACGUUGCUCGGAAUUACUGGGCGUAAAGCGCGUGUAGGUGGAUUGGUGUGUCAGAUGUGAAAUCCCUGGGCUCAACCCAGGAACUGCACCUGAAACUACCAGUCUUGAGUGGUGGAGAGGGAAGUGGAAUUCCUGGUGUAGAGGUGAAAUUCGUAGAUAUCAGGAGGAACACCAGUGGCGAAGGCGGGUCUCUGGACAGUUCCUGACGCUGAGGCACGAAGGCCAGGGGAGCAAACGGG
rnacentral:rRNA from 1 species